rnacentral:sRNA from 1 species
CCCUAGCCCCGAUAGCAGUGGAAAUCCUUUUGUGCCGGUGUUCGGCACAAAAGAUUGCAACGGAUAGCGGGAAAAAGC